CGCAUAAUGCAGCGGGACCGCAUGAAUUUUGCUGCCAAAGAUUUAUCGUCCAAAGAUGAGCUCGCGUCUGAUUAGCCAGUUGGCGGGGUAACGGCCCACCAAAGCGACGAUCAGUAGCCGGACUGAGAGGUUGAACGGCCACAUUGGGACUGAGACACGGCCCAGACUCCUACGGGAGGCAGCAGUGGGGAAUAUUGCGCAAUGGGGGAAACCCUGACGCAGCAACGCCGCGUGAGUGAAGAAGGCCUUCGGGUUGUAAAGCUCUUUAAUCAGGGACGAAGAAUGACGGUACCUGAAGAAUAAGCUCCGGCUAACUACGUGCCAGCAGCCGCGGUAAUACGUAGGGAGCAAGCGUUAUCCGGAUUUACUGGGUGUAAAGGGCGUGUAGGCGGGCCUGCAAGUCAGAAGUGAAAUCUGGGGGCUUAACCCCCA
rnacentral:rRNA from 1 species